AUAGAUGACGGCGUCGAUGGCCAAGAAAGGCUCGCUCAAAAUAGGAAAAAAUAGAGGCUAUUUUGUUUAAAUACAAAUCCGACAACCACUAGCUCCAAUCGAACGUCAACGAUCAAAAAACAACCACAAGAAGGAAAAGAGAGAAGGGAAAAAGGAGCUUAUUUGGCUUCAAUGGCCAGAGGGUUUCCGGCGACCUUCUUCCCAACAGCAACCU
rnacentral:lncRNA from 1 species